ACACUAUUUUCAUGUACAGCCAUCAGCCUCUCAGAAGCCUCAAAGAGCUUCUUAAGCACUCAAUAUAUUUAUGAGCCUUUAAGUUGUCUCGAAGCCUUUGGGAGACUGGCCCUGAGCCUCAGUGGCUUGCUUCUGGUCUCUGCAGCCUACUGUGGACUGGCAGUUCUCUGUUCCCCUUGCCUCCCGUAUAAAGGGAAGAUCUUUGGAAUGUGCUAACUCACAGGCAAGCAACUGGGCACUGUAAAAAACUUCUCUCACUUGGCGACAAGCUAUUGAAUACCAGCUGCUGGGUGCUGACGUGACUUGUGAUUAGGAUCCACCUGAAUCAAGAGAGGGCAUAUGAGCAAAAGAAAAAAGACAGGCUGGACUGCAGCCUGACUUGAACAGUACUUCAGGCCUGACCUCAUCAUCAGCUGUAGUUCUCUCCACGCAUAGCAUUCCAGACUGGAUUUGGAUUGCAUGUUGUGUUUGCUCUCAGCUUCUCCUGGAUCUAGAUUGUCCCUGAAUACAUUUCAGUUUCAGACUGAAAGAUACCACAAUGUUUCACAUAAGUCGUAUUAGCCUGCGCACACCCCACACACCCUUCUGGGCCACUCCCUUGAAGAGAAAUGUUUUUUUGUGCUGGACUGAACAGCACACUUGAAUGACAA